CGGCAACAGCUCAAAUUUGAAAUCUGGCUCUUUUAGAGUCCGAGUUGUAAUUUGCAGAGGGCGCUUUGGCGUUGGCAGCGGUCCAAGUUCCUUGGAACAGGACGUCACAGAGGGUGAGAAUCCCGUACGUGGUCGCUAGCCUUUACCGUGUAAAGCCCCUUCGAC
rnacentral:rRNA from 1 species